AAACAUAAACGUUAUGGUCUAUUGCAGGGGUCAGCACCCAUUCAGAAGUGGUGUGCCUAGUCUUCAUUUAUUCACUCUAAUUUAAGGUUUCAUGUGCCGGUAAUACAUUU